UCAGAACGAACGGACUGGCGGCGUGGCGUUAACACAUGCAAGUCGAACGCAAAGGGGAACUCGGUCCUGAGUAAAGUAGGCGGCACGGGUGAGUAACGCGUAGAUAACCUGUCUUCAUGUACUGGAAUAAUAACGCCGAAAGGGGUACGUAAUACCGGAUAUUCUUGCUUUUCAUAAGUUAUGCAAGCAAAGGUGGCCUCUGCAUAUGCUACUGCAUGAAGAGGGGUCUGCGUACCAUUAGCUAGUAGGUGGGGUAAUGGCCUACCUAGGCGACGAUGGUUAGCGGGUCUGAGAGGAUGAUCCGCCACACUGGCACUGGAACACGGGCCAGACUCCUACGGGAGGCAGCAGUGAGGAAUAUUGCGCAAUGGGGGAAACCCUGACGCAGCGACGCCGCGUGAGUGAGGAAGGUCUUCGGGUCGUAAAGCUCUGUCAAGAGGAAAGAAGUGUACAAUGGCUAAUACCUGUUGUAUUUGACGGUACCUCUAAAGGAAGCACCGGCUAACUCCGUGCCAGCCGCCGC
rnacentral:rRNA from 1 species